rnacentral:lncRNA from 1 species
UCAACAUCCCAAUUAGGGUCAAAUCAAUGGCUUAUCACUACCCAUUACAUGUUAACCCAUAAUCCCCAUUAAACGACGAUAAACCCCCUUUACCUUAUUAUUUUGGAUCGAAGGUUGCUCUAAGAAUCGGAUUCCGGAAGUUUUCUUCUCCUUCCCUCUCGUUCGUACAACAGUUCUCAAAUUCCUCUUCUGCUAACUUCUUUCCACUACUGUUUUUUUUUCCAUCACUUCUUUUCUUUUCUCUUUAUUAAAUUAACUAAAUAUCCUAAUCUCUAAUGGGCCUAAUAUAACACCUCUCAUUUUACUAAUUAGCACACAAUGAUAA